CCCGCUGACGACCGGCGCACGGGUGCGGAACGCGUAUGGAACCUACCUCAAUCAGGGGGAUAGCCCAGGGAAACUUGGAUUAAUACCCCAUAGUAUUGUUUUAUUGCAUGAUAGAACAAUUAAAACUUCGGUGGAUUGAGAUGGCCAUGCGUAUCAUUAACUAGUUGGUAAGGUAACGGCUUACCAAGGCGACGAUGAUUAGGGGCCCUGAGAGGGGGAUCCCCCACACUGGUACUGAGACACGGACCAGACUCCUACGGGAGGCAGCAGUGAGGAAUAUUGGACAAUGGUCGCAAGACUGAUCCAGCCAUGCCGCGUGCAGGAUGACUGCCCUAUGGGUUGUAAACUGCUUUUGUACGAGAAGAACACCCUCUUCGUGAAGAGGACUGACGGUAUCGUACGAAUAAGGACCGGCUAACUCCGUGCCAGCAGCCGCGGUAAUACGGAGGGUCCGAGCGUUAUCCGGAAUCAUUGGGUUUAAAGGGUCCGUAGGCGGGCUAUUAAGUCAGAGGUGAAAUUGUGCAGCUCAACUGUAGAACUGCCUUUGAUACUGAUAGUCUUGAGUUAUGGUGAGGUAGCCGGAACAUGUGGUGUAGCGGUGAAAUGCAUAGAUAUCACAUAGAACGCCGAUUGCGAAGGCAGGUUACCAACCAUAUACUGACGCUGAUGGACGAAAGCGUGGGGAGCGAACGGGAUUAGAUACCCCGGUAGUCCACGCCGUAAACGAUGGAUACUAGCUGUUGGGUUUUCG
rnacentral:rRNA from 1 species